UGGGGAAUUUUGGACAAUGGGCGAAAGCCUGAUCCAGCAAUGCCGCGUGUGUGAAGAAGGCCUUCGGGUUGUAAACCUCUUUUAGUAGGGAAGAAGCGAAAGUGACGGUACCUGCAGAAAAAGCACCGGCUAACUACGUGCCAGCAGCCGCGGUAAUACGUAGGGUGCGAGCGUUGUCCGGAAUUAUUGGGCGUAAAGAGCUCGUAGGCGGUCUGUCGCGUCUGCUGUGAAAACCCGAGGCUCAACCUCGGGCCUGCAGUGGGUACGGGCAGACUAGAGUGCGGUAGGGGAGAAUGGAAUUCCUGGUGUAGCGGUGGAAUGCGCAGAUAUCAGGAGGAACACCGAUGGCGAAGGCAGUUCUCUGGGCCGUAACUGACGCUGAGGAGCGAAAGCGUGGGGAGCGAACAGGAUUAGAUACCCUGGUAGUCCACGCCGUAAACGUUGGGCGCUAGAUGUGGGGACCAUUCCACGGUUUCCGUGUCGCAGCUAACGCAUUAAGCGCCCGCCUGGGGAGUACGGCCGCAAGGCUAAAACU
rnacentral:rRNA from 1 species